rnacentral:rRNA from 1 species
UACGUAGGGUGCAAGCGUUAAUCGGAAUUACUGGGCGUAAAGCGUGCGCAGGCGGUUUCGUAAGUCUGUCGUGAAAUCUCCGGGCUUAACCUGGGAAUGGCGAUGGAGACUGCGAGGCUAGAGUUUGGCAGAGGGGGGUAGAAUUCCACGUGUAGCAGUGAAAUGCGUAGAGAUGUGGAGGAACACCGAUGGCGAAGGCAGCCCCCUGGGUCAAAACUGACGCUCAUGCACGAAAGCUAGGGGAGCAAACAGG